rnacentral:rRNA from 1 species
CCUACGGGUGGCAGCAGUGAGGAAUAUUGGUCAAUGGGCGCUAGCCUGAACGAGCCAAGUAGCGUGAAGGAUGACUGCCCUAUGGGUUGUAAACUUCUUUUAUAUGGGAAUAAAGUGCAGUAUGUAUACUGCUUUGCAUGUACCGUAUGAAUAAGGAUCGGCUAACUCCGUGUCAGCAGCCGCGGUAAUACGGAGGAUCCGAGCGUUAUCCGGAUUUAUUGGGUUUAAAGGGAGCGUAGGCGGGUUGUUAAGUCAGUUGGGAAAGUUUGCGGCUCAAACCAAAAAUUGCAGUUGAUACUGGCAACCUUGAGUACAGAAGAGGUGGGCGGAAUUCGUGGUGUAGCGGUGAAAUGCUUAGAUAUCACGAAGAACUCCGAUUGCGAAGGCAGCCUGCUGGACUGUAACUGACGCUGAGGCUCGAAAGUGUGGGUAGCAAACAGGAUUAGAUACCCCAGUAGUC